GUGAACGCUGGCGGUAGGCCUAACCCAUGCCGGUCGAACGGCAGCACCGUAAGAGCUUGCUCUUACGGGUGGCGAGUGGCGGACGGGUGAGGAAUACAUCGGAAUCUACUUUUUCGUGGGGGAUAACGUAGGGAAACUUAUGCUAAUACCGCAUACGACCUACGGGUGAAAGCAGGGGAUCUUCGGACCUUGCGCGAUUGAAUGAGCCGAUGUCGGAUUAGCUAGUUGGCGGGGUAAAGGCCCACCAAGGCGACGAUCCGUAGCUGGUCUGAGAGGAUGAUCAGCCACACUGGAACUGAGACACGGUCCAGACUCCUACGGGAGGCAGCAGUGGGGAAUAUUGGACAAUGGGCGCAAGCCUGAUCCAGCCAUACCGCGUGGGUGAAGAAGGCCUUCGGGUUGUAAAGCCCUUUUGUUGGGAAAGAAAAGCAGCAGGUUAAUACCCUGCUGUUCUGACGGUACCCAAAGAAUAAGCACCGGCUAACUUCGUG
rnacentral:rRNA from 1 species